GACGAACGCUGGCGGCGUGCUUAACACAUGCAAGUCGAACGGAAAGGCCCUGCUUUUGUGGGGUGCUCGAGUGGCGAACGGGUGAGUAACACGUGAGUAACCUGCCCUUGACCUUGGGAUAACUUCAGGAAACUGGGGCUAAUACCGGAUAGGAGCUCCUGCUGCAUGGUGGGGGUUGGAAAGUUUCGGCGGUUGGGGAUGGACUCGCGGCUUAUCAGCUUGUUGGUGGGGUAGUGGCUUACCAAGGCUUUGACGGGUAGCCGGCCUGAGAGGGUGACCGGCCACAUUGGGACUGAGAUACGGCCCAGACUCCUACGGGAGGCAGCAGUGGGGAAUAUUGCACAAUGGGCGGAAGCCUGAUGCAGCAACGCCGCGUGCGGGAUGACGGCCUUCGGGUUGUAAACCGCUUUCGCCUGUGACGAAGCGUGAGAGACGGUAAUGGGUAAAGAAGCACCGGCUAACUACGUG
rnacentral:rRNA from 1 species